AUGCGUGUAGGCAUAGAGGAGGUCUUUCCGUUGGUAGUGCACAGGCACUGUAGGUGGCACAUUAUAAAGAAGGCUGAGGAGACGCUAGGACCGUUCUUUGCUGACCGUCAAGAGCUGCAUAAGGCAUUCGAACUGUGCGUGGACCACAGCUUGACGGUGGAGGAGUUUGAAAGGAGCUGGAUGGCCAUGACUGAAACACAUCAAGUCCAAGACAAGGAGACUCUUGUAAGCCUGUGGGAGAAGCGAAUGUACUGGGUGCCGGCCUACUUCAUGCAGUUCUUCUUCCCCUUUCUACAGACUACGCAGCGCAGCGAGGGAUUCAAUGCUGUUUUGAAGCGGUACGUCAGUCCUGGCAACUCAUUGCUACAGUUUGCCAAGCAGUACACAGCUUUGCAACAAAAAAUUCUGGGAUCUGAGCUGCAGCAAGAAGCGAACACCGCGCUGAAGCAGCCAAAAUUGCUAACGUACUUACCGAUGGAGAGGCAAAUGAGCAAGAUAUACACCAACAAGAUCUUUAACAAGUAA
rnacentral:rRNA from 1 species